UACGGAGGAUCCAAGCGUUAUCCGGAUUUAUUGGGUUUAAAGGGUGCGUAGGCGGCUUAUUAAGUCAGGGGUGAAAGACGGUGGCUCAACCAUCGCAGUGCCUUUGAUACUGAUGAGCUUGAAUAUACUAGAGGUAGGCGGAAUGUGACAAGUAGCGGUGAAAUGCAUAGAUAUGUCGCAGAACACCGAUUGCGAAGGCAGCUUACUAUGGUAUUAUUGACGCUGAGGCACGAAAGCGUGGGGAUCAAACAGG
rnacentral:rRNA from 1 species